AUAUUUGCAGGUAAGCAGAGUCACCAUCGCCUCCCAGAAAAGACACAACGCCCGUCUCAGAACCACCAGCGGUCUCGUCAUUUCAGGCGGCGUCGGAACGGGCUGGACCGCUGCUGCCAUGUUCUCUGACUGCGGCGGCGUUCAGCCCCCCGAGAGGCGCCGAGAGAGGAGAGGGGGAACAGCCUGUAGCAGGGACGGCAACAAAAGCAGCAAUAGAAGAGAUAAGCUAAUGAGGAUUGGUAUCAUUAGGCUGACGCGCACAAACCAGGGACAGGACACGUCACAUAGGUUCCUGGCCGUGAUCUCAGCCCGCUUCCAUUUUGCUGUCUGACAGUUGCGCUAUCCGUGCCAUUUGCACUUAAGUGGGCGCUCCAUCUCCGCUGCAGGCAAUUUACAUGUUUGCAUCUCGUUAGGGCCGUCUAUACGGAGAAGGCAACUUGUCAGGACAGUGAGGGAGGAGGGGAUUUUCAGGGCCCAGAUUAGUUUUCACCUUUGAUACCAGAGCACAUCGCUCACCCAUGCGAAAUGGGAUUUCGGAAAGGAGAUUUUUUUUUGGGGGGGGGGUGAGCUUUGAAGUUGGAGCACGGCGAUACAAAGGCCCAGCCUCGGUUGUGUAAUUCACACUGACACACGCGGGGGAAAAAGCACACAUAUGAGCUGGAACCGGGAUGGAUACAAAGAGCAAUCACUGGAGGAUACCACGCCACUCGACACCUCACCUGAGCUUGGCUGAUUCCCUUCAGUCCACAGUCGGUAGCCAAACCAUCUCAAAUGAGUUCAGGUCACAUCGUGGAUGUUAUGCACAUGUUUACAUCAUCUCCAUGCUCACUAAACUAAAGCACAGGAUCCCAUUGGUCUACCGUCCAUUUGUUGUGCAUUUCUAACCUCAGUCAGUGCUGAGUUCCUGAUUCUUCCACUGCAGUUGACUUUCACCGGCUGUUAUAAUUAUUUCUGUGGCUCCCUUCAACAAUCAUCCCCCGAGCAGGACGAAGGGCUGACUCAUGGUGCAGAAGGACCCAGGCGCCGCUCAUCUCUUAAUAUUUUCCCAGCAUCCCCCCCAGACGUUGGAGACACAAGCUUUUGAUUCUAAUGAACUGGAUGAAAUAAAUGAAUAGCAAAUUUCCAUUUCAUAACAAAGAUAAAGCAAUUGUAAUAAGAAACAGAUGGCCACUGUGUUGCACAAAGACGGAUAAAUGCUGCUGUAAUCCUGCAGUAAAACAGUGUGUGUGUGGGAUA